AUGUUCAUUGUUAUAAUUAUAAAUUGUUUACACGAAAUAUUUUAUGAAUAAUUUAAUAAAUUUUAAUAAAAUCACGUGACUCCAGCGAAGUCUACGAUUGGUCAGUGGAGAGCGCGGACAUUUCUGAGACGUUUUGAAAAUUUGCCGAGAUGAAAGCCUAAAAAAGAAAUCGGAGAAUUAUAGUUCGCAAAAUUCUUGUCCCCUGUAGUCAUUGUAAACUUGGGGGAAAUGCAUAAAGACUUUAACUCUGUCAAAUUGAAGGGAAUGGCAUGAAAGAAGGAAUUGCGUGGUACAUUCAAAUGGAGGAUCAAUUUUUAUAAGGAGUCCAGAUGAAAAUCGCAACUGUACAGAAAUGAGUAUUUACCCUGGUAAAAGGUCUAUUACUGUGCAGAAAAUUCUGUGGUGCCAAUUGGGUAAAAACUCUAUGAAAGUAAUGAAGAUUACAUGAAUUGCACAUGCAGCAAGUGAAUAAUGUGUGGCCAAAAAAAGGACAUGAAAUGGAGUAUACUUUCAAUACCUUUACGGUGUCUUUGUGUAUUUACAUUGCAUUAAUUAUGUUUUGUAUAUGCUGAAAAGGUGUGUUUAUUUUUUUCUUGCAAAGAAUGAUAUUACAAAUAUCAUUAUUUUGUUAAAGGUAACAA